AGAUGAUGACCAUACAUGGUGCUCAGCCCAUGAAGAGGUAGUUGUCAAAAGUAAAGACCCACCAUCCCUGAUGAGAUCUCAUCUGAUGAGACCUUUGCUCAACCAACUCCCACACAUUUAAAGACAUCCACGUGAAUUGUGCCCAUGGUUACAGGAAGAAGGCAUAGAAGAUGAUGAUUGAUCUUUCCACCACUGAAGAACAUCAGCCAAGCUACAACUACAUAUUAAUUUUACUCUUUGAGGAGUUAUUCAUUGGGUAGAGGGAGGAUAGCCUUGACUAUCUUUUGAAGUUAAGCAUCUUGUUUGAAAUUAAAGUAAUAAAAACACAAAA